AAAGUCGUAACAAGGUCUCCGUUGGUGAACCAGCGGAGGGAUCAUUACAGAGUUGCAAAACUCCCUAAACCAUUGUGAACCUACCGCUAAAGAGUUGCUUCGGCGGGUGGCGGGCGUCCCUCCCCCCCUCCAGGGGGGUGGUGGAAGCCGGCCGCCGAGCCCGCCGGAGGAAACCAAACCUCUUGUUUUCACCACUGGCCUCUCUGAGUAUACUUACUUAAAUAAGUCAAAACUUUCAACAACGGAUCUCUUGGUUCUG
rnacentral:misc_RNA from 1 species